rnacentral:rRNA from 1 species
ACGAACGCUGGCGGCGUGCUUAACACAUGCAAGUCGAACGGAAAGGCCCUGCUUUUGUGGGGUGCUCGAGUGGCGAACGGGUGAGUAACACGUGAGUAACCUGCCCUUGACUUUGGGAUAACUUCAGGAAACUGGGGCUAAUACCGGAUAGGAGCUCCUGCUGCAUGGUGGGGGUUGGAAAGUUUCGGCGGUUGGGGAUGGACUCGCGGCUUAUCAGCUUGUUGGUGGGGUAGUGGCUUACCAAGGCUUUGACGGGUAGCCGGCCUGAGAGGGUGACCGGCCACAUUGGGACUGAGAUACGGCCCAGACUCCUACGGGAGGCAGCAGUGGGGAAUAUUGCACAAUGGGCGAAAGCCUGAUGCAGCAACGCCGCGUGCGGGAUGACGGCCUUCGGGUUGUAAACCGCUUUCGCCUGUGACGAAGCGUGAGUGACGGUAAUGGGUAAAGAAGCACCGGCUAACUACGUG